CCUACGGGUGGCAGCAGUGAGGAAUAUUGGUCCAUGGGCGGGAGCCUGAACCAGCCAAGUCGCGUGAGGGAAGACGGUCCUAUGGAUUGUAAACCUCUUUAGGCGGGGCGCAAUGCCGGGCACGCGUGCCCGGAGGGAGAGUACCCGCAGAAUAAGCAUCGGCUAACUCCGUGCCAGCAGCCGCGGUAAUACGGAGGAUGCAAGCGUUGUCCGGAAUUACUGGGUGUAAAGGGAGUGCAGGCGGGAAGCCAAGUCAGCUGUGAAAACUACGGGCUUAACUUGUAGACUGCAGUUGAAACUGGUUUUCUUGAGUGAAGUAGAGGUUGGCGGAAUUCCGAGUGUAGCGGUGAAAUGCGUAGAUAUUCGGAGGAACACCGGUGGCGAAGGCGGCCAACUGGGCUUUAACUGACGCUGAGGCUCGAAAGUGUGGGGAGCAAACAGGAUUAGAUACCCUUGUAGUC
rnacentral:rRNA from 1 species